UACGUAGGGUGCGAGCGUUAAUCGGAAUUACUGGGCGUAAAGCGUGCGCAGGCGGUUCGUUAAGUUCGUUGUGAAAGCCCCGGGCUCAACCUGGGAACUGCAAUGGAAACUGGCGGGCUUGAGUGUGGCAGAGGGGGGUGGAAUUCCGGCGUGUAGCAGUGAAAUGCGUAGAGAUGCGGAGGAACACCGAUGGCGAAGGCAGCCCCCUGGGCUGAGAUUGACGCUCAGGCACGAAAGCGUGGGGAGCAAACAGG
rnacentral:rRNA from 1 species